GUUUUCUUUGGCAGUACAUGUAUUAAAAUUGGAAUGACACAGAGAAGAUUAGAAUGGCCCUUGAGCAAGAAUGACACACAAGUUUGUGAAGCAUUCCUGUGGAUC